rnacentral:piRNA from 1 species
UCUGAGGGAAAGGAAGGUGAAGCCUGU